GGUAAUGAUCGGCAUAUUCAUGUUAUUUCCUGGAAAUCAUUAUCAAAUGCAAAUGUCUCUAGUGCAUGCGUGGUUAUGUUGGACGGGGGUCCUCUGGUGGUUGUUAAUAGUCUUCCUCAUUGUGUCCGCAUGCUCAAUUCAUCUUUGGCCGAUGCUCAUUUCUUCUUUGGCUGAUCUUCCAAACCAAACCCAGUAUCUUCUGGCACCUAUUGUUUUGACUCGAGAUCCAUAACCAGUACCCAUUGUUUUAAUUCAGAGUCCAUAACGAUUCGUACAGUGUUCAAGGCACACACCAUAUUAGCUACUAAGGGCCUUAGUGGGCUUUAUAUUCACAUAGCUGCUAUAACUCCAUUUUAAAAUCAAAAUCAUAUUCUAAACUAAAAUCAAAAUAAUAUUCUAAGAUUCAAGCUACUUUGUUAAGGUAACUGCGACAGCAGACAGGGAGAGAGGCAGAAAUAGAAUGGGGAAAAGCAACAGACCGCAGGGCACAGAGGGUGGGAUUCAUCAACAGGGCCAGGGCAAUGGACGACACAAAAAAAUGUAGCUGUGGGCUACUGGGAAGAGAGAGCAAAUCAAGAACAGGGAGUGGGAGCCAGACAGACACGGAGAAAGGAACAUAAAGACAGCGAUGGGCUACAAGACAGAUAGGGAGGAAAUAAAAAAUAGUGUCAGGGAGCCGGACAGAGAGAGAGAGGGGGGAGAA